UAACUCUAGGCUUUAUGAACUGUCCCCUAGUUCAGAGUAAACUGUCAUUUGGGAGUGAUAACAAGAGGAUAAAGACAUCACAGAUGGGGAGAAGGAAGCUGGACUUCUGUCUUGGUAUAAAAAAAAGGGGGAAAUAUAUCAUCCAUGGGAAAGCUCAGUGAGUCCUGUAUAGGAGUUGAGGGGGUUUGCUGACGAGAUAGCCUUGAACUGAGCCUUCCACAUAUGGGAAUCAGGAGCUGCGAGCCUCCCAGCAGCAUCUGGACGUUCCUGCUUGUUAUGGUUCCUGGAAGUCAGAGAUUUUAUAUCAUUAAUAUAUUCAUUCCAAAAACCAGGUGUUGGGGAGGGCAAAGUUGCUUUCCUGAGAGGUCAUGGAUUUUACUCUUUUUGCCCAGAAGAAAACGGUCCUAAGGAAAAGGAAAAGACCAAUAUUGUGUCCUCAGCUCAGAGUAAACUCCAUGCAUUGGAUUCCUAUGGUGCAGUUUGUGUCUGACACUGGUAUCUGCGAGAGAGAAGUGUUACCAAGUUGAGACUUCAUCAUCAGAGUCUUUUCACUAGUAUUACUCUGAGUACCAUUCCCUGACAGUUACCCUUUAUAUGUCUGAGUCAAUAGGGACUUACAGCCUCAGGAGAAAGAUAACAUGGGACUUUAAUAAACAUGCAUCGUGUAGUAAUACCUAGUCUCUUCCCUUACUUUACCUUCCCUGUCUGUAUUUUCCUAAUGGAUGUUGUACAUAAAUGUAGUGGUGACUGCCUUUCAGGAGUAUAGAAGUUGUCAUAUGUGGCACCCAAAUGAAGAAUUUGACUUUUCUUCCCUGGCUGGAGCUCCUUACCAAUGAUCUACUACAUCGUUUUCCCUAUGACUGCUGCUUUGAUUUGUGUGUGUGUGUGAGUGAGUUGUGUUUGUGUGUGUGUGUAUCUGUCUCUCUCUCUGUCUGUCUUUCUGUCUUAGUCUCUGUCCAUCUGUUUCUUCCACAUGAUACCUAUCUAUACUUCAGUUUGACUUCUUAAUUGCUCAUUCCAAGAUUGACCCAUCAUGCUUUCCCUGAGUGUUUGCUAUUGAUGACUCAAAUUACACCUGUGUUAAUCAAUGCACCUGUUGCCAGAACUGUGUACCACUGAUUACAUCACAAUCAGUCUCAUGGCUAAAAUAAAUAAUUUUCGAGGCUCUGAGGGAAUUUUUUAUCAGAAUUUAAAAGUUUUCUGUAUUUUUUACUCCCCUAUCCAUACUGUUGUAGUCUGUGGAUAUUCCCCAAGUCUUUGCUCACUUGUAUUUAUCUAUGUACCUGGCCUACUGGGAAGACAUCAUCCCAACCCUCCAAUAUUACUUAGCAGGAGGAAUAGAUGAAGAAUUUGGAAAAAUUGGUCAUUUAGCUACAGAAGAUGUCCCCUGAGAUGGAUUAACUGUGUCGAAUUAACACAUCACUGACAAGAAUUAUGAACUAUGUUCUCAGUUUAUUUUCUUCUUUGUCAUUUUGAGUGUGCUUCCAAAGGAGUAGGGGACCAUUUGUGGGCUGUGUUUGAGAAUUGAGUCUUAACUAUUCAUUCAUGAAGGUGGUAAAAAAUUCAAUAGAUCAGUGAUAUCUCUGGGUUAGAAGGGAUAGUGAUAGAAAGUCUUCCUUUGUGUCUCAGGCAAAGAUCCUUGAAAGGGCAACAUGGUUUGUUUAUUUGGAGAAGAUCUAGUUAAAGGGAAGUUAUGUGCUGUUGAAUGGGACUAUCUUCCGGAUACUCUAAUGUAUGCUGGAAUUUCCAUUGUAUUCUCUGUGAUGUCACUAGUGUUAUGGAAACAGAAACUGCCCUCGUGGCAAUUAGUUAGUACUUAUUUGUUUACCCACUCAAAUGUUUUUCAGGAUGAUCAAGCUAUUUACAGAGAAAACAGAGAGCAUGGAGAGACAAAAGAGAGAGGAGGAAGAAAUUAAGAUACUUUCUUGUUAAAGAAGUGAAACAUAAAUUAUCUGGUGCAAAAAGGCAAGUGAGAGCAGUGGGCUGGUUCUGAGGAACCUCCUAGAGGAGGUAGUCUUGGCUCAGGCCUUCUAGGAGUAGGACUUAUGACCUGAAGGCUCUGGAUCCCUAAAGAAGAGACCCAGUUUCAGGAAUAUCUGAUAAAUUUAUUGGCAGAGAGUCAGGAAUUGUCAAGCAUGCAUCUUGUCUACUAUGCAUUCCUUAGUUUCAUUCUGAAUGAGGAAGAAUGCCAAGAAGAGGCACAGCGAUAAAAGCUUUGACUCUCAGGGUAGAGUAUUGAAUUUUAUCUUCACAGGAUUCCUGGACAUGCCAUAGGAAUUUAUGACAAGGGCUACUCCGCUCACAUGCAUCAAGGUCUCUUACUCUUUGUCUUGAACAUACAUGAUUAAGGCUUGGUGGUCCUUAACACUAUGGACUCCAGGACUUACAUGCAUCCCAUCAGAUACGAACUGAAAAUAUCUUCCAUUUAUUCAUGUCUUGACCAGAUUUUGUUGUUAAGGGCCAGGGCGACUGCAGAAGGCAGUGAGGCACAUGUUUAGGGAUCACGGUUGCGAGAAAGAAAAUAGCUACUAAGUCCAGCUUGAAGAGAGCUUUCCUCAUCUUUCAGUGCUUCCAAGUAUCUGUAGAUUUCCCAUUUCAUCAUGGUUCAUUAGGGACUCAGCAUUUUCUCUCCUGUGACUGGGCCAUUACUAUGCAUGUUCCCUUGUGUUUCUCUUCAGGGUCUGCUGGGAAGUCGUCAUCCCAACCUUCCACCAUCAGUGAGCUAGUAAAUCAGAUUAAGAAUUUGGAGAAAUUGAUUAAUUAGCUCCAGAAGAUGACCUGUGAGUUUGGUAAACUCCCAGGAAAGCUGACCCAUUGAACCAACAGCAUUUGGACAAAAGAUAGUCAUUAUGCCCACUUCUUUGUUGACAGUCCUGACCCCUCUGUGUUAACCUCAGUUUUCUCACACCACAGGAAAAUGCAACUGUAAUGUCCUCAUGUAUGAACUAAUUUUCUUGUGUGCCACGCAGAGGCAGGACAUGAAGAAAGGAUAGGAGUUUAAUAAGAAACUACAUAAUUCUCAGAAAAGCAGAAGCUGUGUUUUGAAUAAAAGCCUUGGGAUUGGGCAGGAAGAACCUACAAUAAGAAAGCCACCAUCAGAGCUGCCCAUCCUCCCCAGCACUAAAGAAAGAAAAGAUUUACUUUGUCUGGGUUAUGGAGAUUUUCUUGUAGACUGGGCUCAUAGCUUCAGACCUGAAGAGAGGUAGACUAUGGAAAUGGGAGCUCCUUUUGGAGGAUUCUGCUUAUCUUGGAGUAAUUGGGAAAUACUGAGGAAGCCUAAAAUGUUGGUCCACCACCUUAUCCCUUGCUGAGAAUAAAGUCUCCUGGGAACUGGGUAAGCAGGGUAAGCAGGCAUGGCUAACAAGACAAUCCAGGUGGGUAAACAUUUGUCCAUUAGGUAUACAGGGGGAGCAUUUCAUUGACUAAGCUGAAUGUAUCUGCUCUCCACUAUGUUCUAAUUCCAUGUAAGGAAAGUUUUGUUGAUUUUGUCUAUCCUGUGACCCAGCAAGUGUUUUUCACAUUCUUUAUGUUGUUUCUUCACUGAUAUGAACCAUGUGAGAAUGGAGGGAGCAAAGGAAAGCCACAGACAACAAUAUUCUACAUUCUAGAAGAUCAAGGCCUUCUCAUAAAAAGAAAACAUCUUUGUAUCUAUGAAUUGAGCAAUGAGUUAAAUUGCUACCAACCUCUGGUCAUGCAGCUGAUAUCUGGUACACUGGUCUAUUGACUAAGUAUUCCAUGAGGGAAAGAAAGCAUCAAAAAUUAGCAUGAGAUAAAAAAAGAACUUAAAAUGAGUCAGAACUCUGAUACCUAGCAGUAAUUGGUCCCGAUGAGGAUCAAAAAUUAUAUGAAGGUUAUUAUCUUGAGCAAGAUUUACUCUGCUGGAAUUCUCAGAUGUUCAUAUGUGCUUGAAAAUCUGUCACAUAAGACUGUAUUGACAUCAUACUCUAGUCCAGAAAGACCAUACACCAAAGUAUACUAUUCUUUCUGCAGCACAGUGUUGCAACUACUUCACAUUACACAUUUGUAUGUGAGGCUGAAAUUAAUGUUCUACAUAGAUGAAAGCAUUCCCUCAAUCCUUGUCUUAGUAAUUUUUUUAAUAUAGAAAAUGUCUGAUAAUUCAUCAGUUCCACACCUGAACUGAAGUAACUGUUCUUCUGACUGUAUUCAUAGAGGACAUCUGAGUAGUAGUAGACAUUUCUAGUCAAUGGCGUCUCCCCAUGAAUCUGUUUGAGCCUGAAUAAGAAUGCAUAGUCAUAUUUUAGCUAAGGGAAUCAUGUAGUAUCCAAAACAUUACAGGAUCAGUCUGCUGUAAAUAUUUUUCUUUCACACAGGUGAAGGAAGGUGCAUAAAAGUCCGUAUGUCAAAGUUUGUAGAUAUUACACCAUCAAGAGAUGAAAAUAUUUUCAUUUACACAGGUGAAGGAAGGUGUAUCAAAGGCAGUAUAUCAAAGGUUGUAGAUAUUACACCAUCCAUAGAUGAAAGUAUAUCAAGAAGAAUUGCGUAGGGCUACACAGAUUGAUCUAAGUAUCCCCACACAAUUCUAAGCCAGGAGGGACAAGAAAUCACUUUACAUAGAAAUUUAAAAUAAUCUGAUACUAUGGUAUGUAGACUGUUAAUAGAUAAUGAUAAACCACCUAAAAAGCACAUGCAUUUAUACAAUAUGCUAUCCAAAAUAUAUCCAGAGGCAGUUUGCAACCUAUGUUUAGCACAAAGAGAUUGAUUCCCCACUUUGCAGAUUCUGAUCAGAACCACUAAGUAUUAAGAAUACUAUAUUAGAACUCACUUGCAUAUCAUAAGACUGUAUAACUAGGUAGUCACAGCAAACAUGACAUUCGGGAAGCAUAGCAUGAACUUGCCAAGAAUGGAGGGAAUGCAUUUAGCUGAUGAUUUCUGGCCAUGAAACUCAAAUGUCCAAAAUACCAGCUGGAUUUUCAUUUACAGAACAAUAAAUACUUAAUGAGUUUUAGGACAAAUUUUGAAUCUAAAGUCUCGAAAAAUUAUUUAUUAUUGAGCUCUGAUUCCCUGUGGAGAUUGGAGGAUAUUAUGAGUUUAAUCUGUGACCGAGAGGUAUAAGUAAAUGGUGCAUUUUGAAGUGAUUAGAUAUGUUAAAGAGGCAUGGAAAACAAAGGAGGCCAUGGUAUCUUUGAAAAAGUGUGCUUCUCCAACAUGUAGAAGGAGUUCUCGUGGACUGACCUAGACACACACACACACACACACACACACACACACACCCUACAAAUAAGUGACUUGCUCUGUGCUGUUGGGGCAUGCUGGAUUGAUCCAAGGAAUGAGGUGUACAUCCACAAGUAAGUCAACCCAAUGUCAAUGAAAGAAUUCAUAAAUCCUCCUCCUUUCUUGAGAAAGAAUUCUGUACAUGAGCAAUGCUUACAUUUUAAAGUUUAAGAGGAAUGAUUUGAAAACAGUAACAACUGAAUCCCACUAUGAAAACAACAUUUCAGAGAUAUCUAGAGACACCAUUUGGAUUUUAUGGAACUUGAGAUGCUCAGUUCUCAGGAUUGUAGGAUUGAACCAGGUCAUUACUAGUCAUAACUCUGUAGGGACAGUAAGAAUUUUGACAAUUCUUCAAUUGGAAAAACCUAAGGAACAGUACUGGCAACAGCUGAAUUCAAAAGGGAGAAACUUGUGCUUAGGUAAAUCCAGUACCUAAGACUGAGCAGCUGGUUAAAAGCCAAGGAGAAACAUUGUAUCUAAAUAAGGACUUCCUGAUGCAGAACUGGUUACUAAAAUACAUAAA